rnacentral:lncRNA from 1 species
UAGGUUGGUUUGUUGUUGAUAUUGUUGGUUAUAAUAGUAGUUUGUUUGAGGGAAUUGGAGUGUAUUGUAUGGGUGAGCGUAGGUUGGUUUGUUAUUGAUAUUGUUGAUUAUGUUGUUAUUUUAAAUAUCCGUCCAGAUGAUUAUGUUUUUUUUAAUUAUUAACUACUAUGCACGUAAUAUAUAUAAACCAUUGUGUAUUUCUAAUGUCUUUUGGGAACAAACAAUUAUGAAAUACAUUUGAUAAUCAAAGGCUUCUGGUUACAAAGUACGACCAUAUUA